rnacentral:tRNA from 1 species
GGGGUUGUGGCUCAGUGGCAGAGCAUUUGCCUAGCAUGCAUGAGGCACUGGGUUUGAUCCUCAGCGCCA